rnacentral:lncRNA from 1 species
AUGUCCUUAGUGCCACACCUGCAUUCCCAGUGCACUUCAAAGCCUUUUCUGUUUGUUCUAUUAUUGCACCCUCUUGCACCUCUCAUUAAUCCUGUGAACCCUGUGGACAAGGAUUACCAUCUUCCUUCUACCAAAGAAGAACCUGCAAUCAAAGGUCAACAGCUCUUCACAUCCUUCAGCACCAGAGCUUUGCAGAAACCACCUUGGAAACCAAGAAUCCACCUCAUGGAAAAAUGGAAGAGAGGGAAAAAAAGGAAGUUCCUCAAAGCAGAUAGAAAGCCAUGCGAGCCCUGGUCGUGGCCACUACGGCUGGGACGGUAUACAGAGCCCUGGAGUGACUAUCCACGGAAGUGUAUAAAGAGAUCAUGGUCCCUGGAGCCACCCAUCCACCGAGGUUCAGAUGCUGCCAUGGGACCUGGGGACCUCCGGGGACGGUAUGCAGAGCCCUGGAGUGACUGUGCAGCACUUCAUUGUCAGAUCUGCACCCAGCUCCUGAGUUACCUAGAUGCUGCCUGAGGAGUGCCCAGGAUGACCCUGUUGGCCGAAUGUUCUCCGAGCUUCUUUCCAAAUCCUGAGUCAUCAUCUGCUAAGAGGAAGGAAGGGCCACAACAUUUGUCUAAGAACCUUGUGACCCAGGCUGUGGCAGAGCAAAACAACCGCGGGCCUCUGCCCGCUGCCUGGACUCUGACUCCUGGGAAUCAUGUGAUCGCCCCAGAGAAUGUGAUCCUAUCUUUAACCAGCCAGGAGGGGGGCGUUGCUGGGAACGUUUGGAAGGCUGGUUUAAAAGAAUGCAUUCCUCCUCCACGGGGGGCGGCCCCUGGCGUUUUGUGUUGGCAGGUUCUCCUCCUUCCUGGGUCCUGAUGCUGUCCGGUUGCCGUGGGGGGAGCCCCUCUCAGAGUGUGGCUCAGUGGUAGAGGGCUGCCCUAGCAUGCUUGAGGCACUGAGUUCCAUCCUCAGCACCACAUAAAUGUAAAAUAAAGAUGUUGGGUGCACUUAAAACUAAAAAAUGAAUAUUUUUUUUAAAAAAAGAGUGGCUUUUCCAAUGAAAGGCUGAAGCUACUUCUGGCUGGUUGACCUUGGACUUGACCCAGCACUCACCCUGAACUGUCUAGUCUGUACUGCCUCUUCCCUGGGCAUGUCCUACCCCAGCCUCAUCCAUUCUUCAAAUUGGGCUUCCCUGCUUCCCAGAUUCCCUGAGAGGGUGGGGAAGGAAGCCAGAUUCUCAUUCUCCGCCCACUCCCCAGUUAAAGUGGCACUCCUGGAGGCUGGGGCUGGGGCACAGCGCUUGCCUAGCACGUGCAAGGCCUUGGGUUCAAUCCUCUGCACCCCAUAAAAAUAAAUAAAUAAAAUAAAGCUAUUGUGUCCAACUACAACUAAA